GCCCGGGUGGUGAAAUUGGUAGACACAAGAGACUUAAAAUCUCUCGCCCCUUGGGCGUGCCGGUUCGAUUCCGGCCCCGGGCA
rnacentral:tRNA from 1 species